rnacentral:rRNA from 1 species
AUUGAAUGCUGGCGGCAUGCUUUACACAUGCAAGUCGAACGGUAACAGGCCUUCGGGUGCUGACGAGUGGCGAACGGGUGAGUAAUGCAUCGGAACGUACCCAGAGGUGGGGAUAACGCCGCGAAAGCUUUGCUAAUACCGCCUGUUAACUGAGGAUGAAAGCGGGGGGCCGGGCCGCAAUGUUUGGCCUCGCGCCUUUGGAGCGGCCGAUGUCGGAUUAGCUAGUUGGUGGGGUAAAGGCCUACCAAGGCGACGAUCCGUAGCUGGUCUGAGAGGACGACCAGCCACACUGGGACUGAGACACGGCCCAGACUCCUACGGGAGGCAGCAGUGGGGAAUUUUGGACAAUGGGCGCAAGCCUGAUCCAGCAAUGCCGCGUGCGGGAAGAAGGCCUUCGGGUUGUAAACCGCUUUUGGCAGGAACGAAACGGUGUCCGCUAAUACCGGGCGCUAAUGACGGUACCUGCAGAAUAGGCACCGGCUAACUACGUG